GAUGAACGCUGGCGGCGUGCCUAAUACAUGCAAGUCGAGCGAACGGACGAUAAGCUUGCUUCUCUGAUGUUAGCGGCUGACGGGUGAGUAACACGUGGAUAACCUACCUAUAAUACUGGGAUAACUUCGGGAAACCGGAGCUAAUACCGGAGAAUAUUUUGAACCGCAUGGUUCAAAAGUGAAAGACGGUCUUGCUGUCACUUAUAGAUGGAUCCGCGCUGCAUUAGCUAGUUGGUAAGGUAACGGCUUACCAAGGCAACGAUGCAUAGCCGACCUGAGAGGGUGAUCGGCCACACUGGAACUGAGACACGGUCCAGACUCCUACGGGAGGCAGCAGUAGGGAAUCUUCCGCAAUGGGCGAAAGCCUGACGGAGCAACGCCGCGUGAGUGAUGAAGGUCUUCGGAUCGUAAAACUCUGUUAUUAGGGAAGAACAUAUGUGUAAGUAACUGUGCACAUCUUGACGGUACCUAAUCAGAAAGCCACGGCUAACUACGUG
rnacentral:rRNA from 1 species